CAUGCAGUCGAGGGGUAUUCAGUUGCUUGCACUGGAGAGACCGGCGCACGGGUGAGUAACGCGUAUGUAACUUGCCUCAUUCAACGGGAUAGCCCGGGGAAACCCGGAUUAAUAUCGUAUAACAUUUGGACAGGCAUCUGUCCGGAUUGAAAGAUUCAUCGGAAUGAGAUAGACAUGCGUAUGAUUAGUUAGUUGGCGGGGUAACGGCCCACCAAGACGAUGAUCAUUAGGGGUCCUGAGAGGGUGAUCCCCCACACUGGUACUGAGACACGGACCAGACUCAUACGGGAGGCAGCAGUGAGGAAUAUUGGACAAUGGGUGAGAGCCUGAUCCAGCCAUCCCGCGUGCAUGAAGACGGCCUUAUGGGUUGUAAACUGCUUUUAUACAGGAAUAAACCAUCUUACGAGUAGGGUGUUGAAGGUACUGUAUGAAUAAGCACCGGCUAACUCCAUGCCAGCA
rnacentral:rRNA from 1 species